rnacentral:rRNA from 2 species
UACGUAGGGUGCAAGCGUUAAUCGGAAUUACUGGGCGUAAAGCGUACGCAGGCGGCUUUGCAAGACAGGUGUGAAAUCCCCGGGCCUAACCUGGGAACUGCAUUUGUGACUGCAUGGCUAGAGUACGGUAGAGGGGGAUGGAAUUCCGCGUGUAGCAGUGAAAUGCGUAGAUAUGCGGAGGAACACCGAUGGCGAAGGCAAUCCCCUGGACCUGUACUGACGCUCAUGCACGAAAGCGUGGGGAGCAAACAGG